rnacentral:lncRNA from 1 species
AUGGCCCUGGGGAGCCACCUGCAUCACUCUCACACCAUGCUCUCCUCUGUGUGUUUAGCACCAGAUCCAACAGAUUUUCCCAAAACUGUGCCAAGACCCACAAUGGCAAGUCAUACCUUGCUUCCGUCUACCCAGGGCCUCACCAGCAGUCAGCCCGUGAUCAACCCCGGCAGCAGGACAUGGACCCUGGCCUCCUCUGUAGCAGCCAAGAAUCUUCCUGUAUGGAUGUUUCUGGUGCCUCCUUUCCUUGGGACCCUGCAGUGGCUCUGCCAAGGAUAAUGGACUCUUAAUCAGCAGGACUCUGGCCUCCUCUGUAGCAGCCCAGAAAGGAAAGGAUAUGUCCUCUUUCCAUCCUCAGUCUUCAGGGGUACCUGUUUUCUCACCUGUGUGGAUAUUCUGGUACCUCCUUUCCUUGGGACCCUGUAGUGAUUCUGCCAAAGAUAAUGGCCUCUUAUAUCAUUUAGGACUCUGGCCAAUGAUGGAUAUUACAGUUCCAGACCAACCAGGAACCAUAAAACCAGAAUUAAACCCAAAGCUUUCAAGUGUUCCAAGGACAAAGACCCUUGAUGGGCCAGGUGUACACAGGUCUAUCCAUUGCUGCUGAUUCAGUGCCUCCUAGAAUAUGAAUCACCUGAAUGUAAGAUUGUAUACAAGGUUGGACCAUCCCUGACUCAAAUUCCAUCUGUUUGCUCUGUACAUUUCCUAUUAAAUCUAUGGCUUUUCUGGCCUCUUGAGAUUAUUUUUUGGACACUAUUUCAAUGUUUUAUAUAUAGAAGACAACCCGGCCAUUCUAGAGGGUUUGAAGUGACUUUAAAUCCAACACUAACUGGGGGGGGGGGACAAUAGAAGGGAGAGGCCUGGAUGAUGCCUUCUUACCCCUCAGAGAGGUCCCAAGGAGGGCUUCACUUAUGUAGAUGUAAAAUUUCAUUGAUGGCUUUGUAUUUUUUUUUAAAAAUUUUAUUAGAGAAGGAGCAUGUGAGCAGGAGGGGGAAAGGCUGAUGGAGGAUGAUAAUCCCAAACAGACCCCAUGCCCAGCAGGGAGCCUGAUGCAGGUCCCAAUCUCAUGAUCUUAGGACCACAAACUGAGUUGAAAUCAAGAGUCUGACAUUUAAUCAUCUGAGCCACCCAGUCUCCCCUAUUUUCUGUAUUUGUUAAAAAGUGUAUUGUGGGCACACCUGGGUGGGUCAGUGGUUUGGUGCCUGCCUUCGGCCCAGGGUGUGACCCUGGAGACCCGGAAUCGAGUCCCACGUCAAGCUCCCUGCAUGGAGCCUGCUUCUCCCUCUGCCUGUGUCUCUGCCUCUCUCUCUCUCUCUCUCUCUGUGUGUGUGUGUGUAUGUGUGUGUGUGUGUCUCUCUCUCAUGAAUAAAUAAAUAAAAUCUUUUUAAAAAAGUGUAUUGUGGUG